CGGGGUGAGUAACGCGUGGAUAACCUGCCUCACACUGGGGGAUAACAGUUAGAAAUGACUGCUAAUACCGCAUAAGCGCACAGUACCGCAUGGUACGGUGUGAAAAACUCCGGUGGUGUGAGAUGGAUCCGCGUCUGAUUAGCCAGUUGGCGGGGUAACGGCCCACCAAAGCGACGAUCAGUAGCCGGCCUGAGAGGGUGAACGGCCACAUUGGGACUGAGACACGGCCCAA
rnacentral:rRNA from 1 species